GCGGAUUUAGCUCAGUUGGGAGAGCGCUAGACUGUGAGAUCUUAGAGGUUCGCUAGUUCGGAUCGCUGGUCAAUUCGCG
rnacentral:tRNA from 1 species